CCUGAGUUCUGUUCACCAAAGGCUAAGAAGGCUAAACGCAAGCAACAUUUUAUCAAGCUUAGUUCUAGAAAUCUAGAUCUACAUCAAUAUUUCAAGUCAUAUACAAACUUCUGAACCCAGAAUGAUCAAAAGCUCAUAAAAACUUAUAACUCAGUGCUAGAUUUCUUUUGAGGUAUAAACACAGAGGAAAACAAACUGCAACACAGAUUCCAAUAUGGCAGAAAAGUUUCCAUCAAACGACAUCUGGAUUAAAAUAGUGUUUACAUUGUCCACACCAAUGGACAUUGUCCAUGUCAACAGGAUAACAACAAAUGAUCUUAAUUACAUAAAUGAAAACUAGAUUUUCCCAUUCCAUCACAUAUUUGGUAUCAAGGGAUCAAGGUUGCAAUCAAGGUAAAGACCCCUUGCGGAGAGCAUCAGUAACAAGUGGUGCCUGCCUGGUCAAGACACUUUAGACUGUUGUUUCAUUGAAUCCUGCCCUCUGCCAUUCCCUUCAGGAAGUUUGUGCUAAGGUGUAAUAUUUAUUUCUAAAGGAAUAUCCCAAGCAGUAAAACAAAAAAAA